GCUGUGGCUCAGUGGUAAAUCAUCUGCCAGGCAUGUAGAGGGUCGCUGGUUCAAUCUCAGGCAUCUCCA
rnacentral:tRNA from 1 species